UACGUAGGGUGCUAGCGUUGUCCGGAUUUAUUGGGCGUAAAGAGCGUGUAGGCGGUCAGGUAGGUCAGCUGUGAAAACUCGAGGCUCAACCUCGAGACGCCGGUUGAAACCAUCUGACUAGAGUCCGGAAGAGGAGAGUGGAAUUCCUGGUGUAGCGGUGAAAUGCGCAGAUAUCAGGAAGAACACCGAUGGCGAAGGCAGGUCUCUGGGCAUUAACUGACGCUGAGGAGCGAAAGCAUGGGGAGCGAACAGG
rnacentral:rRNA from 1 species